rnacentral:rRNA from 1 species
CCCCUAGAUGUUCUGGGCCGCACGCGCGCUACACUGAACAGUUCAACAAGUCUUAACCUUGGCCGAUAGGUCUGGGUAAUCUUUGAACGCUGUUCGUGAUUGGGAUAGACCUUUGCAAUUAUGGGUCUUCAACGAGGAAUUCCUAGUAAACGCAAGUCAUCAGCUUGCAUUUAUUACGUCCCUGCCCUUUGUACACACCGCCCGUCGCACCUACCGAUUGAAUGGUCCGGUGAAAUCUCGGGACGGCGGCUUGGUCGCUUGCGUCCGACUGCUGAAACUUGAUUAAACCAUAUCAUUUAGAGGAAGGUGAAGUCGUANCA